CACCUUCCGAGUGUUCCUGUAUCACAUAAUACUUAAUUAACAGCUUGGUUAAACAAACCACGGUGGUUAACGUUCUCCACGAGUCGAGGCCGCAAGUAGCAACUUCUUCUGGUAACCGGGGGUUCCCCGUCACCGACUACUGCGAGGACGAGGUCGGUACCGCUCGUCGUCAUUACCGUAGCGAGGACUCAGGCUCUUCUCGUUACUAUUACAACCUCGAUGUCGGGACUUAGUCUAGCUGCACGACGACCGUUCCCGUACGCUAGAUAGCGCGGUUCACGGAUGAAGUUCACGGGCUGAGUCGGUGUCGCUCCCGUAAGAAGGUGGGCCCGUGCCAAAACUACGACUUUGGUGCUUCCUCCCGGAGAGCUUCCUUCGGCGUGAAGAGAUGGGUCCGUGGCUCCGGAAAGGCCUAGGGGCGCGGCGGCUCUCGUACGGCAGAGACCCGAGUCUCUGCCGUCCCCUCCUCCCCCUCCAGCUGGAAGCCGCUGGCCUCCGCCUCCUCUGCUACUACCUCGAGAGCGCGCGUACGCCGCUCGACCCCUGCGGGGGCAUGGGGGUCGCGGCAAGCUCACGCGCGGACGCCGGCGUCGUCCGCGGCUGCCGGUGUGUCAUGCUCAAGCACUUCUCUAGGUGGUUCUCCUUCGCUCGAGCACCGUGGCACAUACUUUUGCUUCGGUUAUACUUCGAAUUCUCCCCUAAGUUGUUCUGGUAGUCCACGAGCGAGUUCCUCAAGAAGCUCACGCGCCUCGACGAGUUCCUGGCCGUGGACCGCUCCCAGGCGUUCCGUCCGAAGCCGCGGUACGACCUGCCGUUCCAGUCCCCCGAUUAGUCGGCCGGAGAGUAGCCGAAGGAGUACCCGUUCUAUCUGGGUCGUUCGUACUGUUACUUCGAGCCCCUUAGUUUCCAGCAACGAUAGUGAUCACUACGGUAAGUGGUGGAAAAGCCGGACGGAGUUCCUCCCGUGUGCCGGGGCUCCGGGCGUCUUUCGCCGAUGCUGUUCCGUCACUACUUCGACUUCGUUCUCGAGCCCAAAUUUUCCAGACUAUAGUAGUACUGCUCCCUAGACGCCCCAGACGAAUUCGCCGACCACCUCCUGUUCCUCUUUCUACUCAACCGCGAGUUCCAAAAAAAGAACCAACAAAAGUACUUCCACUAGACGGGCCCCCGGAGGCGUGCACAGAGAUCCCUCCGCCGUUACGACCUUAUAGAGCUAAAACUAUUCUACCGCCUGUACCUAAAGACGGUCGACGAACAGCUACUCGACGUCUCUCGCCACCACUCCAUAGUUUCGCCGUUCCGAAACACCGUCCGAUAGUGUCCGACGCGGUAGCGCGGAGAGAACUAGAUGGAACUAACGACGUUGAACUCCUUUCAAAGACUCAAACUAUGUGCCUGGGGAGCUUGGGUAAAGUACUGGCUACUAUUGGAAUUCUUCUAUAGGUAGCGACUGAACUAACUUUUCCCCCCAGGACUGGGGGUCUGGACCGAAAUGCCGUUUAAUGGCACCUUCCGAGUGUUCCUGUAUCACAUGAUAUUUAAUUAACAGUUUGGUUAAACAAGCCACGGCGGUUAACGUUCUCCACGGGUCGAGGCUGCAAGUAGCAGCUUCUUCUGGUAACUGGGGGUUCCCCGUCACCGACUACUGCGAGGUCGAGGUCGGCAGCUCCCGUCGUCAUUAUCGCAGUGAGGACUCAGGCUCUUCUCGUUACUAUUACAAAGUCGAUGUCGCGACUUAGUCUAGUUGCACGACGACCGUUCCCGUACGCUACAUAGCGCGGUUCACGGAUGAAGUUCACGGGCUGAGCCGGUGUGGCUCCCUUAAGAAGGUGGGCCCGUGCCAAAACUACGACUUCGGCGCUUACUCCCGGAGAGCUUCCUUCGGCGUGAAGAGAUGGGUCCGUGGCUCCGGAAAGGCCUAGGGGCGCGGAGGCUCUCCCACGGCAGGGAGCCGAGCCUCUGCCGCCGCCUCCUCCUCCUUCAACUGGAGGUCGCUGGUCUCCGCCUCCUCUCCUACCACCUCGAGCGUGCGCGUACGCCGUUCGACCCUUGCGGAGGCAUGGGGGUCGCGGCAAGCUCACGUGCGGAUGCCGGCGGCCUCCGCGGCCGCCGGUGUGUCAUGCUCAAACACUUCUCUAGGUGGUUCUCCUUCGCUCGAGCACCGUGGCGCAUACUUAUGCUUCGGUUAUACUUCGAAUUCGCCCCUAAGUUGUUCUGGUAGUCCACGAGCGAGUUCCUCAAUAAGCUCACGCGCCUCGACGAGUUCCUGGCCGUGGACAGCUCCCAGGCGUUCCGCCCCAAGCCGCGGUACAACCUGCCGUUCCAGUCCCCCGAGUAGUCGGCCGGAGAGUAGCCGAAGGAGUACCCGUCCUAUCUGGGUCGUUGGUACUGUUACUUCGAGCCCCUUAGUUUCCAGUAGCGAUAGUGGUCGCUGCGGUAAGUGGUGGAAAAGCCGGACGGAGUUCCUCCCGUGUGCCGGGGUUCCGGGCGCCUUUCGCCGAUGCUGUUCCGUCACUACUUCGACUUCGUUCUCGAGCCCAAAUUUUCCAGACUAUAGUAGUACUGCUCCCUAGAGGCCCCAGACGAAUUCGCCGACCACCUCCUGCUCCUCUUUCUACUCAACCGCGAGUUCCAAAAAAAGGACCAACAAAAGUACUUCCACUAGACGGGCCCCCGGAGGUGCGCGCAGAGAUCCCUCCGCCGUUACGACCUUCUAGACCUAAAACUAUUCUACCGCCUGUACCUAAAGACGGUCGACGAACAGCUACUCGACGUCUCUCGCCACCACUCCAUAGUUUCGCCGUUCCGAGACACCGUCCGAUAGUGCCCGACGCGGUAGCGCGGGGAGAACUAGAUGGAACUAACGACGUUGAACUCCUUUCAAAGACUCAACCUAUGCGCCUGGGGCGCUUGGGUAAAGUACUGGCUACUAUUGGAAUUCUUCUAUCGGUCGCGACUGAACUAAGUUUUCCCCCCAGGACUGGGGGUCUGGACCGAAAUGCCGUUUAAUGGGACCUUCCGAGUAUUCCUGUAUCACAUGAUACUUAAUUAACAGCUUGGUUAGACAAGACAGGGUGGUUAACGUUCUUCGAGGGCCGAGGCCGCAAGUUGCGGUUUCUUCUGGUACCUGGGGGUUCCCCGUCACUGGCUACCACUAGGUCGGGGUCGGUACCGCCCGUCGUCGUUGCCGCAGCGGGGGCUCAGAUUCUCCUCGUUGCUAUUACAACGUUGACGUCGGAACUCAGUCUAGCUGCACGACGACCGUUCCCGUACGCUGAAUAGCGCGGUUCACGGGUGGUGUUCGCGGGCCGAGUCGGUGUGGCUCCCAUAGGAAGGUGGUCCCGUACCAAAACUGCGACUUCUGCGCUUCCUCCCGGAGCGCUUCCUUCGGCGCGAAGAGCUGGUAGACGUCUUCCGGUGCAAGGUGGAGGCGAGAAGCAAGCGGGAAAAAUUCUCACACGUCCUGCUGGCCACGUCCGGAAUGCUUCUGUUCCGCUUUAGUCGGAGGUCCGUCCACCGUCUCCUUCUCCGACGACGAGUUCCUUCACUUUCUCUUUGUCUCCGCGGAAGGCUACUC
rnacentral:rRNA from 1 species